UGGGGAAUAUUGCGCAAUGGGCGAAAGCCUGACGCAGCGACGCCGCGUGAGGGAUGAAGGUCUUCGGAUCGUAAACCUCUGUCAGAUGUGAAGAAGUUGUGCAUGAUGAAUAAGCGUGCAUAUUGACGGUAACAUCAAAGGAAGCACCGGCUAACUCCGUGCCAGCAGCCGCGGUAAUACGGAGGGUGCGAGCGUUAAUCGGAAUUACUGGGCGUAAAGCGCGCGUAGGCUGUUAUAUAAGUUAGUGGUGAAAUUCCAGUGCUUACCAUUGGAACUGCCAUUAAUACUGUAUAGCUAGAGGAUGUGAGGGGAUAGUGGAAUUUCUGGUGUAGGAGUGAAAUCCGUAGAUAUCAGAAGGAAGAUCUGUGGCGAAGGCGACUAUCUGGCACAUAACUGACGCUGAGGUGCGAAAGCGUGGGUAGCAAACA
rnacentral:rRNA from 1 species